rnacentral:rRNA from 1 species
UACGUAGGGGGCGAGCGUUGUCCGGAUUCAUUGGGCGUAAAGCGCGGGCAGGCGGCCCGCUCAGUCGGCCGUGAAAGCGCCGGGCUCAACUCGGCGAGGGCGGGCGAUACUGGCGGGCUCGAGGCUGGUAGAGGGGGGUGGAAUUCCGGGUGUAGUGGUGGAAUGCGUAGAGCUCCGGAGGAACACCGGUGGCGAAGGCGACAUCCUGGACCGGCAUUGACGCUGAGGCGCGAAAGCCAGGGGAGCAAACGGG